rnacentral:rRNA from 1 species
UACAGAGGGUGCAAGCGUUAAUCGGAAUUACUGGGCGUAAAGCGUGCGCAGACGGUUGCGUAAGUCAGAUGUGAAAGCCCCGGGCUCAACCUGGGAAUGGCAAUGGAUACUGGCAGGCUGGAGUGCGGUAGAGGGUAGUGGAAUUCCCGGUGUAGCGGUGAAAUGCGUAGAGAUCGGGAGGAACACCAGUGGCGAAGGCGGCUACCUGGACCAGCACUGACACUGAGGCACGAAAGCGUGGGGAGCAAACAGG